rnacentral:rRNA from 1 species
AUUGAACGCUGGCGGCAUGCCUUACACAUGCAAGUCGAACGGUAACAGGUCUUCGGAUGCUGACGAGUGGCGAACGGGUGAGUAAUACAUCGGAACGUGCCCGAUCGUGGGGGAUAACGAAGCGAAAGCUUUGCUAAUACCGCAUAAGAUCUACGGAUGAAAGCAGGGGACCGCAAGGCCUUGCGCGAACGGAGCGGCCGAUGGCAGAUUAGGUAGUUGGUGGGAUAAAAGCUUACCAAGCCGACGAUCUGUAGCUGGUCUGAGAGGGCGACCAGCCACACUGGGACUGAGACACGGCCCAGACUCCUACGGGAGGCAGCAGUGGGGAAUUUUGGACAAUGGGCGAAAGCCUGAUCCAGCCAUGCCGCGUGCAGGAUGAAGGCCUUCGGGUUGUAAACUGCUUUUGUACGGAACGAAAAGACUCUGGUUAAUACCUGGGGUCCAUGACGGUACCGUAAGAAUAAGCACCGGCUAACUACGUG